rnacentral:lncRNA from 1 species
GAAUUGUGGGGCAAGCUUGGCCACUGAUGCAGAUUCUGCAGCUUGCUACACAGAAAGCCAGAGACCGAGAGCCAAUGACUGAGACUAUGAGUAUUGCCAAGGAAGAAGGCUUUAAUCGGGUGCUGCAGCUGAGAAGAUGAGAGCUCAGCCUCAAAUCCAUCUCCCUGACCAACUAAAGCUAAGGAUUGAUAUAGCAGGGAAGAAAACAGGAACUAGGAAGGGGCAAGGAAGCGAUCCUGAUGAAUGAAGGGUCAGGCAUUUCAUUGUCUGGAUGUGGCGAUCUGCUCACACUGGCCACACCUGGGACUUCCAACAUGAAUGCUUUUGUCACGGAUGCUGCGCUGCUGCUGUUUCUGGUUCUUACUCUGCUUACACCAAGGAGACUGAUGUCCCUGCUAUAACCCCACUUCCGAUGCAGACAGCAAUUCCAAUGCAUUGCAGCUUUCAGGAUUUU